rnacentral:rRNA from 1 species
GAGGUUCAGCUUACUCAUCAGCCCGAUCAGUUGUAUUGGAAGCUUACUAAAUCUGGUGAAUUCACAGUCAAGUCGAUGUACAUUGAUGUCAUCAAUUCUAGUGUAAUUCCUAGUUCCAAACACGUUUGGAAAGUUAAGGUUCCUCUCAAAAUUAAAGUGUUUAUGUGGUUUAUGCAUAAACAAGUCAUUCUAACGAAAGAUAAUUUGAUUAAGCGCAACUGGACAGGAUCUACUAGGUGUAGUUUCUGUGAUCGGGAUGAAACUAUCAAGCAUCUUUUCUUUGAGUGCCCGAUGGCGAGGGUGUUGUGGCGCUCGGUGCAGAUUGCCUUUAACAUUACUCCUCCGAAUUCGGUCAGGUCGUUGUUUGGAACGUGGCUGGUUGGUAUAGAGGCCGAAACAGUUAGACAAAUUCGUGUGGGAGCAUGUGCGUUGUUAUGGGCAAUUUGGAACUGUAGAAAUGACUUGGCUUUUAACAAAACAACAACUAUUCAUUUUUUGCAGGUUCUCUUCCGGGCUACU